UACGUAGGUCCCGAGCGUUGUCCGGAUUUAUUGGGCGUAAAGCGAGCGCAGGUGGUUUAUUAAGUCUGGUGUAAAAGGCAGUGGCUCAACUAUUGUAUGCAUUGGAAACUGGUAGACUUGAGUGCAGGAGAGGAGAGUGGAAUCCCAUGUGUAGCGGUGAAAUGCGUAGAUAUAUGGAGGAACACCGGUGGCGAAAGCGGUUCUCUGGCCUGUAACUGACACUGAGGCUCGAAAGCGUGGGGAGCAAACAGG
rnacentral:rRNA from 1 species